GGCGCUGUUAUAGUUUCUAUCGUGGACACUGGGUAAAUCGAGCAGUAAUAAGAAGUUUGUAAGAUUCUGAAAGCAAGAUGGCUCGUGGACAACAGAAAAUUCAGGCACAAAUGAAAAAUGCUGAGAAGCAGGCAAAAUUGAAGAAGAUGCAGGGAGCAGAUUCAAAGAAGGCUGCUGCCGCAGCACUGGUCUACAAGUGUACUGUGUGUAUGUCACAAAUGCCAGACCCAAAGACGUACAGGCAACAUUUUGAGAACAAGCACUCCAAGAGUCCUUUACCAGACUGUCUGAAGGAGACAUCAUAAUUGGUAUAACACAGGUACGAGAUGAUUAAAAGCAGGUUCCUCAUUCCAGAAUUUUUGUGGGAUGUGAAAAGUUCCAUUAAAUUCAAAACAAACUUUUUCGUCAUGAAGAUCCUGCAAAGAUAUGAUAUUGGAAUCUAGAUUUUUUUUACACAUUUGUAGAAAUUAAGAAGAAAUAAAAUUUGUGUAUCAUGUAGAUCUAGAGGAUGUGGUAAAAUAUUGAUAAAACUUUUUUUUGAAAGAGAGAGAAAUAGUUUCAAGUAUAUACAAACAACAAACAAAAUGUCCAGAAAUUUGAAAAAGUGUAAGCAUCCAUAAUUUUUAGCAACAAAGAGUUUUAAUUGAUUUUGACCAAAGCAUGUUUCUUUUUUGCAUUAAUUAUCAAUUCCUUGAUUACUUGACGUCAAAUUAUUGAUGUUUAUUCUCAAACCAAAUAAUUUUAUUAUAUUAGUCAAGAUGUCUGUUGUAUUGUGGUUUCUGGUGAAUAGUUGACAUUAUUAUCCAAUGUUUAAAACCAUAUUUGGAGGUUUAAGCAGAGUUGUUGUGUCAAACUUUCAACAUCUCAUGUAGCUUCUAUUCCUAAUUCCCUGUUGCCUUUUGUAUAAAAUGUCUGGAAGGGAAAUUUCAAGUUUCUGAAUAAAAAAUAAAUAUCCUUUGUAAAUUUGCUACAUGUAACUUGGAAACAAAAAUAUUGAGUUUGUGAAUCACAUUUUUUUAAUUUAUUUGUCGAGGCAGUUUCCGUUUUUAUUAUUUGGAUAAUCUUGUACAUCUUAUAAAGUGUUCGGUUUUGUCAAAAGUUUUUUUUUUCAACUGGAAACACUUAAUUUUUCAUUUGGUUGAUUUAAAGGUUGAAGUUAAAGCACAUUACAUGAAGAAAGUUCAGUGAAAUUAUAGUUAACUGAAUGUUUUUAAAUCUUGAAAUGUGUCAAAUGAUAAUAUGCAUUUUUGGGACGAUGAGAAAAGGGAAAAGUGUUGAAGGUAAUUGAGGAAGUAAAAACUGAUGUAUGAUAUACCCAGUAUUCAGAAAUGUAUGUAUUGUUUUGAAUGGAUAUUCGUCAUAAUGAGUUCGUAAAAGGUAUGAAAUAUUAAAUUGUUGAUUUCUUAUAAGGUGUUGUCAGUUUAAAUUCGCAUCACAUAAUGUAAGAACAUUUUGAAAAGCGCUAUCGAAAUUGCAAUUGCAUAAAGUGACUUUCAAGUAGAUGUUUUUGUGAAAUCAUAUAUGCAGUAUUCAGUUGUAUGAUGGGUCAUUUUUGGAACAGUCAAAUUUUUUAUUCCAAUCUACUGAAGAAAUAUGUUUCUCUGGUGACAGCGUCAGGUGAACAGCAGUUUGACUGGCAAAAAUUGUCAUGAAACUUAUGAUUUGUCAUCAAAGUACGAUGUUUUGGGAAAUUCUACGAGUUAUGAGAUUCAUAUAGAGCUGUUCAUUUAGAAACGGUUAUUAAGGUUCAUCCCAUAUGGGUAAAAGCUUCGAAGGAAACAGAAAAUCUGAGAAAUUGUUGCAUACAAAGGACUUCGGGCAUUAUGGGUCAUUUUUCGUCCUCAUAAAAAGUAAAAUUUCAAAUUCAUUUACGAAUUUUGGAGCCAUCUUUCCUGGUGCAGGAAAUGAAAGCCUCUGCAUGUAACGACUAAACAUUUCUCUGAAUGAACACUGGUAUGGCAAUGUUCAAGCAAAUAUUUGCAUGUAUUUGGUUGGUGCAUGUGGAGGCUUUCAAAAAUUGAAGAGUGUUUACUAAAUUUGCUCAAAAUGGCCAAUUUUCAAUGUAAAUAGCACACCAUAGGCGAUAUUCACACAGAACUUUAUUGUGCACACAGCUUUUUUCAUUUUGAACGAAACACGGUUAACUGUUUCAACAAAGAACACAAAAAGCAUUUGAAAGAUCAUUUAUAUAUUAUAGAACAUAUGGAAACAAUAUUACGUUUCGCUACAUCAACAACAAAUGCUUUGUAUGGUUAUAUUGGGAUAAACUUUUAUUUAAUCUAGAAUUUUUGUUAUCUAAUGUGCUUGUUUUUGUGACCGAAUGAGGAAGAACAUUUAAAUGUGUUGUUUUAUUUUUUAUGUCUUGCAUUUUUUUUCUCUGUAGAAACAUAACUGGUUCAUGCGGUAUUGAUUCGUCCGUUUCUUUCAUUGGUAAUUUUUACUUUCUGUCACUUAAUGAACGUUUGGAUAAUGGUUUAUCAAGACCUGGUUUACUUAAGGACGUGUUUAAACAUAAAUCUAAUUAGAUAUAUUUAAAAAAAAAAAAACCAUUGGGAAAUUACUAUUUUGUGUAAAAAAGUUCAUGGUAGGCAAAUUUCAAAUCAGUUCUGUGGUUGGUGCAGAGCUGAUACGCUGACAUGAAUUUUCUGUUGGAAAUUUAGGUACCUUUCAUUAGAUAAGGAUAUCUUAAAGGAAAUCCCACCCCUCCCAAAUUGGAUAUACAUUCUAGUAGUUUCUAACGAUGAGAAAAAACAAACUUCUUCUGUUUUCUUGACUUUAAAAGCUAUUCAAUUAAAAUAGUUGUCAUAGUUUCUAACGAUAAAAACCCCCAAAUUUCUUUUGUUUUCAUGACUUUAAAAGCUAUUCAAUUAAAAUAGUUAACAAUAUGUCAAUUUGCAUAGCUUAACCACUGAACUCGGAUGCCUUUAACAUGUUAAUGCUUGAUAACUUGAAGUUGAAAUUAUAACCUGCCAGGGCUAAAUUGGUUAGCUCCUUAGCCCUUUCACCACUGCAGACCAUCAUGGACUCAUCUAGAUGAAUGUAUGGUAGAGUCUACUCAAGUUCUCUAGGGAUGAAAGGGUUAACCUAGCAAGCAACAUAUGUUCCCAGCGGAAGUAGCUCGAUUUCAUGGGUACUUAUGUAAAGAAGGGGUGUGUGAAAACACAGAGGCUGUGGGAUACAUAAUGCUUGAUAAUAUUCCAAAAAAGUCGAGGUUUUUGUACUAAUGUAUGAUGCUAUGAUUUAGACCUGUUGUAAUAAGACUUUCACUGUGAACACAGAUACCGUACUUUCCCCAGAUUUAUUAUCAGAUUUUCUCAAUGCGUUUUAACUCACUCACCCCUGAAGACACAUUUGAGCUCUUCCAAUUUAAAGGCUGGACUAGUUCAUCAUAAAAUUUCAGGGGUGAAUGAGUUAAAGUGGCUUUGAAGAGAUGUCUGAUUUUGAAUCGUGAUUUGCGUUAUUGUUGGUAAGAUUAUUACCUCUGUGUCUGCUGAAUAUUUAGAUAUUGUUGACAUAUUAAUAUGUGUGGUCAAGGAUUGUAAUUUGUUUUCACUAUUCAUGUGCAUUAUAGGAGGAGAAAAUGUUGCAUCCGAAUUCAACUGGUACCUACUGUAUAAUACGAAAUGUUCGUGGGUACUUUCCUUCAUAGUUUGAAGAUUUAAUAUAGUUUCGUGGUACAAACUUUCCUGGAGAUCCAAUUUUAACAAACAGUAGAUACGUAUAUCAUUCAAAUUCUUUGUAUUUAUUUUCGUGGUUCAAAAGUAACCACGAAAACCAUGAAUGUUUAUACACAAAGAACAUUUCAUGUUAUACAGUACAUGUUUUGUAGGGAUAUAAUAAUAUGUACACUUAUAUAUGUAUAUGUAAAUAUGUUCAAAUUGUCGUUUUGGUGGUUGAUAAAAUGAAACACACAUUUAUAUUGAUUGGUGUUCACUUUCCAUCUAUUACACAAAUCUUGCCUUCAGUUAAUCAUUUUAUCUAGGGUAGAAGUCACUCAAUAAAUAUAUGUAGGGAGGUGUUCCCACCUCUUAUAAUUCUUUCUGGGGCCCACUAUAUGAAUGUUAACAAUUACAACUCUGCAUUUUAAACUUGCCCCUAUAUAAUUCCAAGGUUUUUGUCCGAAAUAGCCAUACAUCUCCCAGUCUUUAUAUUUCUGUUAACUGCUCUUUCCUUAAUGAUAUAAGUAUUUCUUUUGUAAAUUAAAUCAUAAUAUAUGCCUCUGUCCUUGUACAUGUACUACAUUUAUCUGUACAUAGUUUAUGAUCUUUUGUUCUGGUCUGAGGAAAGCCUAGAUGAACGUGUCCUGUAAUUUUUGUUGGUUUUAUUUCAACACUAGGAAUAUAUAUGUUUUUUCAGUUGGUCACAAGCUCUCCAACUCUUUCACCCCUUUGUAACUUUGAUAAACUCUACCAUGCUUCGAUGUUUCGGUCUACGGUGGUGAAAAGGUUAAAAUGGUAUAAAUAGCUUACCACUUUUAUUUUGGAUUUCCAAUAUAAUUUCAUAAUGUUGACAAAAAAGGAAUGCAUUUUUGGAAAGUUAAUAAGUGUUUUUUUUUUAUUGAAAUGUUGUCUUGAUGUUAUUCCUGUAAACUCUAUACACAAGUACAAAUAUCAAGCUAUAUGCACACCACAGGUACUGUUUUUUGAGAGCUUAUAGGGCUCAGCCCCACAUUUUGAAUGCUCAAAUUUUUUCUCUCCAUGCAAAAUAAUAUCUCAAAGACUUUGCUAGUAAGUUAACAGUCUCGCCUUAGGAAUCUGCUGCCCCUUAUCUUCAAAAUACUUGGAUCAACAACUGGACCGAAGACCAAUAUUGAAAAAUUCAGAAUAUGAAAUAGGAUUUGGAAGACCAAUAUAGCCAGUAUUGAAAGAAGGCAAGGUUGUAUAUCGAAUGUAAAGUUUGUCAAGCUGGCGUUUGUAGGCGGUAGAGUUUGUCAAGCUGUCGUUUGUAGGCGGUAAAGUUUGUCAAGCUGUCGUUUGUAGGCGGUAAAGUUUGUCAAGCUGGCGUUUGUAGGCGGUAAAGGUUGUCAAGCUGUCGUUUGUAGGCGGUAAAGUUUGUCAAGCUGUCGUUUGUAGGCGGUAAAGUUUGUCAAGCUGUCGUUUGUAGGCGGUAAAGUUUGUCAAGCUGUCGUUUGUAGGCGGUAAAGUUUGUCAAGCUGUCGUUUGUAGGCGGUAAAGUUUGUCAAGCUGUCGUUUGUAGGCGGUAAAGUUUGUCAAGCUGUCGUUUGAAGGCAGUUAAGUUAAGCGGUUGGGUAAGUAGGUAGCAAGCAGUUCAGUUGUUUAUGUUUCAACACAUUUCCUUUAUUGGUGCAUUUUGUCAAUAAAAAGGUAUUUUAUAUUG